rnacentral:rRNA from 1 species
UGGGGAAUAUUGCACAAUGGGCGCAAGCCUGAUGCAGCAACGCCGCGUGAACGAUGAAGGUCUUCGGAUCGUAAAGUUCUGUUGCAGGGGAAGAUAAUGACGGUACCCUGUGAGGAAGCCCCGGCUAACUACGUGCCAGCAGCCGCGGUAAUACGUAGGGGGCUAGCGUUAUCCGGAUUUACUGGGCGUAAAGGGUGCGUAGGUGGUCCUUCAAGUCGGUGGUUAAAGGCUACGGCUCAACCGUAGUAAGCCGCCGAAACUGGAGGACUUGAGUGCAGGAGAGGAAAGUGGAAUUCCCAGUGUAGCGGUGAAAUGCGUAGAUAUUGGGAGGAACACCAGUAGCGAAGGCGGCUUUCUGGACUGCAACUGACACUGAGGCACGAAAGCGUGGGUAGAAAACAGG